rnacentral:rRNA from 1 species
GUCCGGGAGGAUCAACAUGUACUUGGCUACCUGCUGAGCAACUUCUCUAAAGAGGUGCUCGACACGGUGACCACGGUCACCACGGCGCAGGCGCUCUGGACGACGCUGGCGGGCAUGUACUCGUCGCAGUCGCUGAGCCGCAUCAACAACAUCCGUACCUUGCUCAUCAACGCGCGAAAGGGCACCCAGUCCACCGCCGCCUACUUCGCCUCCAUGCAUGGCCUCGCCGAUGAGCUGGCCGCGGCUGGCAAAUCGAUCCAAGAUGACGAGCUCAUCUCGUACAUCCUUCAUGGGCUGGAUUUGGACUACCAGCCCCUGGUCUCGGCCCUCGAUGCCCGUGUCAACCCGGUCUCCCUGAUGAGAUCUUCUCCAUGCUCAGCAACUUUGACCAAUGCAUGGCGCAGUUCCACGGCUCGGGCGGAGGCGGCUUCAAGUCCUCGCUAA